UGAACCCAGCCAUGCCGCGUGCAGGAAGACUGCCCUAUGGGUUGUAAACUGCUUUUAUCCGGGAAUAAACCUCUGCUCGUGAGCAGAGCUGAAUGUACCGGAAGAAUAAGGAUCGGCUAACUCCGUGCCAGCAGCCGCGGUAAUACGGAGGAUCCAAGCGUUAUCCGGAUUUAUUGGGUUUAAAGGGUGCGUAGGCGGCCUGUUAAGUCAGGGGUGAAAGACGGUAGCUCAACUAUCGCAGUGCCCUUGAUACUGAUGGGCUUGAAUGGACUAGAGGUAGGCGGAAUGAGACAAGUAGCGGUGAAAUGCAUAGAUAUGUCUCAGAACACCGAUUGCGAAGGCAGCUUACUAUGGUCUUAUUGACGCUGAGGCACGAAAGCGUGGGGAUCAAACAGGAUUAGAUACCCUGGUAGUCCACGCCCUAAACGAUGAACACUCGCUGUUGGCGAUACACAGUCAGCGGCUAAGCGAAAGCGUUAAGUGUUCCACCUGGGGAGUACGCCCGCAAGGGUGAAACUCAAAGGAAUUGACGGGGGCCCGCACAAGCGGAGGAGCAUGUGGUUUAAUUCGAUGAUACGCGAGGAACCUUACCCGGGCUUGAAAGUUAGUGAAUGAUCCAGAGAUGGAUCAGUGAGCAAUCACACGAAACUAGGUGCUGCAUGGCUGUCGUCAGCUCGUGCCGUGAGGUGUUGGGUUAAGUCCCGCAACGAGCGCAACCCCUAUGUUUAGUUGCCAGCACGUUAUGGUGGGGACUCUAAACAGACUGCCUGUGCAAACAGAGAGGAAGGAGGGGACGACGUCAAGUCAUCAUGGCCCUUACGUCCGGGGCUACACACGUGCUACAAUGGACGGUACAGAGGGCAGCUACAUAGCAAUAUGAUGCGAAUCUCACAAAGCCGUUCACAGUUCGGAUUGGGGUCUGCAACUCGACCCCAUGAAGUUGGAUUCGCUAGUAAUCGCGUAUCAGCAAUGACGCGGUGAAUACGUUCCCGGGCCUUGU
rnacentral:rRNA from 1 species